UCUCCGUAGGUGAACCUGCGGAGGGAUCAUUACAGAGUUCAUGCCCUAACGGGUAGAUCUCCCACCCUAUGUUAUCAUCACUUUGUUGCUUUGGCGGGCCGUUAGGCCUCGGCUUGGCUACCGGCUCUCGCUGGUAAGCACCCGCCAGAGAACCCCAAACCCUGAAUAUCAGUGUCGUCUGAGUACUAUAUAAUAGUUAAAACUUUCAACAACGGAUCUCUUGGUUCUG
rnacentral:misc_RNA from 1 species